GACGAACGCUGGCGGCGUGCCUAAUACAUGCAAGUCGAGCGCUGGAGCGUGGUACUUGUACCUCUUGGAUUAGCAGCGAACGGGUGAGUAACGCGUGGGUAACCUGCCUUUGAGCCUGGGACAACAUCUGGAAACGAAUGCUAAUACCGCAUAAAAUUUUUAACCACAAGUUUCAAGUUUGAAAGAUGCACUUGCAUCACUCAAUGAUUAUCUCGCGUUGUAUUAGCUAGUUUGUGAGGUAAAGGCCUACCAAAGCGAUGAUAGAUAGCCGGACUGAGAGGGGGGUCCGGCAAAUUGGGACUGGGGAACGGGCCCAACUCCUACGGGGGGGAGCCGUAAGGGAACUUCGGCAAUGGGCGGAAGGCUGGACGGAGAAAGGCGGCUUGAGGGAGGAAGUUCUUGGGUCCGUAAAAUCUGUUUAUAAGGGAGGAAGAUAGUGGGAAUGAAAAGCGCAUAACGUGACGGUAACUAAUCAGAAAGGGACGGCUAACUACGUG
rnacentral:rRNA from 1 species